AGAACGAACGCUGGCGGCAGGCUUAACACAUGCAAGUCGAACGCUCGUAGCAAUACGGGAGCGGCAGACGGGUGAGUAACGCGUGGGAACAUACCCUCCGGUUCGGAAUAGCUCAGGGAAACUUGGAUUAAUACCGGAUACGGCCGAGAGGCGAAAGAUUUAUCGCCGGAGGAUUGGCCCGCGUUCGAUUAGCUAGUUGGUGAGGUAACGGCUCACCAAGGCGAUGAUCGAUAGCUGGUCUGAGAGGAUGAUCAGCCACAUUGGGACUGAGACACGGCCCAAACUCCUACGGGAGGCAGCAGUGGGAAUAUUGGACAAUGGGCGCAAGCCUGAUCCAGCCAUGCCGCGUGAGUGAUGACGGCCUUAGGUUGUAACUCCUUUAGUGGAACGAAUAAGACGGUACCACAGAAAACGCCCGGCUAACUACGCGCCAGCAGCCGC
rnacentral:rRNA from 1 species